ACCUACGGGACGCAGCAGUGAGGAAUAUUGGUCAAUGGGAGAGAUCCUGAACCAGCCAAGCCGCGUGAGGGAAGACGGCCCUAUGGGUUGUAAACCUCUUUUGUCGGAGAACAAAACCCGGGACGUGUCCCGGACUGCGUGUAUCCGAAGAAAAAGCAUCGGCUAACUUCGUGCCAGCAGCCGCGGUAAUACGGAGGAUGCGAGCGUUAUCCGGAUUUAUUGGGUUUAAAGGGGGCGUAGGCGGUCCGUUAAGUCAGCGGUAAAAUUUCGGGGCUCAACCCCGUCGAUCCGAUGAAACU
rnacentral:rRNA from 1 species